UUUGGUACAGUGUGCAGUAGUGAGUGUUGUAGGGUUUGGUACAGUGUGCAGUAGUGAGUGUUGUAAGGUUUGGUACAGUGUGCAGUAGUGAUGAGUGUUGUAGGGUUUGGUACAGUGUGCAGUAGUGAGUGUUGUGGGUUUGGUACAGUGUGCAGUAGUGAGUGUUGUAGGGUUUGGUACAGUGUGCAGUAGUGAUGAGUGUUGUAGGGUUUGGUACAGUGUGCAGUAGUGAG